CUAAGUAGCAGCUUUCCUAGAGGUGGAAUGUGACGAUUUGUCUGCUUGGAUAUAAUCCAAAGUUCACAUGUAAUUAGGCUGCCAAGUUGAGUUGCAAAUCUGGAAAAUGUGACCAUAUGAGCUUCCAGGGGGCAUCCAUGAGUUGUACUUUUGCAAGCUUUCUUUUCUGUAGAAAUUUUCAGCAGGGAAGCUUACCACUUACAGCAAUGGUGGUUGGUUUGGGGAAACAUUAUGGGACUUGUCAGCACCUCGGGAUGCCAAUAUUUGGCUAAUUAAAAUAAUCAUUUUGAAGAUAUUUUUGCCCAAAUUUCCAGGAUUUUCUUAUGGGAUUAUCUCUUCAUUUUAUUUUAUUAAAAU
rnacentral:lncRNA from 1 species